UAGACAGUCAACCUAAAACACACAGUGUCCAUUAUAUUUCAAAGAGAAGGACCGCCAUGAUUCACAAUAAAGACUCCAAUAAGGCAGUGGCAGACAUGGCUCAUGGCUCGGUUAUGUCUUCUCUAAAAUACGUUUUUGAAGAAGGGAUAAGAAGUUGGGAAGGAUGUCUGGACGGCGACCCCUUCAUGUCUCAAGUACAGGGGAAUGAAAAGAGGAGAGACCUGAAGUGUUGGUGGGGGGCUGUUCCUGGUUUUGCUGUUCUGGGAUGUUCAUUGCUAUCCCUAUCAACAAGCCUACAGGUUGGGCCAAGUCUACCCAAGAAUUUCAACUCUAUGGUCCACUUGUCAAACCCAGCCAAAUUAACGCCUACACACGUUACUUCCUUAAACAUGAACCCAUUUCUUCUGGUUCAAGCCUCCCUGUUCCUGUUGACUCUAGGAGUCCUAUUGAUGGGGGCUCCAAUCUUGGUAUUUAGAGUUUUGCUCCCUUGAAGACUACUGCUUCCCCUUACCUCGUUCCUCAGGCUCCUGAACAGACUGGAUGUCUUUCUGCAGGAGUAGCUUACCCUAGUUUUCUUCCUUUACCUCCACGGUGUGAGUCUUCACCAAGUACCUUCCAGGCAGGGGAAAUCUCUCACUUUGAGAGUGUUUAUGAACAUGGCAACAGAGUGAGUUUGAAGACCAAUGGUUCCCACUUCCUGAGGGUGCAGUUGAGGCAGGUUCUAUUCCAGCCCCACUCCCUGCUACAAUAGCCCCACCCCUAUCCCAAGUUAUUAGACCAGAACCUAGCCAGGAAGGUCUUGAGGCUCAUUAUGGGGAGCUGUUCAUCACUAGGAAGUUCCCUGCUGGCAUCAUCACCCAUUUAAGAACCACAUAUGACCAAUGGAGCUCAGCUAGUUUCGUCAGGUACCAUCCUGCUCCCGUCCAAUACCGACCACUAUCUCCUCAUGCCCGCCGGCAGUGACCAGUAGGAGAAGGUACAGUUUUUGGCUUUGCUUUGUCACAUGUUUUUUGACGUGUUGAGCAGCUGUGACACUUUCGAUCUCAUCCUCAGGUUCUGUGCUAACCUGGAUCCUGCUGUUUCAUGGCUGUGUUGCUUACUAAUAAACCUACUUGAGAAA
ensembl:lncRNA